GGCGGUCGCCGUUAUGGCCACUGGGCUGGGCGGCUGACCGCCGGGCUAGGAAAGGGCCCAGGGCCCCGAAUCUCGGUGGCCGCUGCUCCAGCGCGGCCUGCGCCAUGGCCUCCUCCGCCGCCUCCUCGGAGCAUUUCGAGAAGCUGCACGAGAUCUUCCGCGGCCUCCAUGAAGACCUACAAGGGGUGCCCGAGCGGCUGCUGGGGACGGCGGGGACCGGGGAGAUUAGUAAUUUUUAGGUAUUAAAGAUACACUCAACCAAAGGGACAGAAUGGGAAAGGCUGAAAGGGGAAUGAAUAACGUUCUCAUCGUUCAAGUCAUUGCCGGUGCCACACCCAGAGAAAAACAAGCACCACACCAGACAGCCUCUCAGCAAGCCGAAAGAAAAGAAGAAAUUGAUCAGGGAUUUUGAUGAAAAGCAACAGGAAGCAAAUGAAACGCUGGCAGAGAUGGAGGAGGAGCUACGUUAUGCACCCCUGUCUUUCCGAAACCCCAUGAUGUCUAAGCUUCGAAACUACCGGAAGGACCUUGCUAAACUCCAUCGGGAGGUGAGAAGCACACCUUUGACAGCCACACCUGGAGGCCGAGGAGACAUGAAAUAUGGCAUAUAUGCUGUAGAGAAUGAGCAUAUGAAUGUGGUAGUGUCUCAGACUUCUACAUGCUUUCUUUAGAAGCUGAAAAAGAAGAAUGUAGUCAUCUAGGCAAUACCACUCUGAACCUGCCUGAUCUCAGAAGCCAAGUGAGUCAGGCCAGAAUCGGCUACAGUCUCAAAGGGCAAUGCUUCUGCAGGGCACUGAAAGCCUGAACCGGGCCACCCAAAGUAUUGAACGUUC
rnacentral:lncRNA from 10 species